UACGGAGGGUGCAAGCGUUAUCCGGAUUUACUGGGUUUAAAGGGUGCGCAGGCGGAUAUGUAAGUCAGUGGUGAAAUCUCCGGGCUUAACCCGGAAACUGCCGUUGAUACUAUAUAUCUUGAAUGCUGUGGAGGUAAGCGGAAUAUGUCAUGUAGCGGUGAAUGCUUAGAUAUGACAUAGAACACCUAUUGCGAAGGCAGCUUACUACACAGAUAUUGACGCUCAUGCACGAAAGCGUGGGGAUCAAACAGG
rnacentral:rRNA from 1 species